rnacentral:lncRNA from 1 species
UUUGAGGCAUACGUUGUAGGGGUAAGUAACGGUAUAUCUCAGAUAAAUGGCUAAGUGUAAUGGUAGGGGUCCAAUCAGAUCGGAUAUGUCUUAGUUACAAACACGAACAAAUGUGUUCGGAAUACAAAAUGAGUCCGGUGCGGACAAUGUCGGCAAUGAAUAUUUUCCUCGGAGAAUGAGUAAAAGCUACCGUACAUAUACCACACGUCCUGCAUUCAUUUAGACGCACAACAAGUCCUAAGUGGCUAAUUCCAUCCAGAUUGUGCUUAAAGAAGAAAACUUUUAUUAUUU